rnacentral:rRNA from 1 species
UACGUAGGGUGCAAGCGUUAUCCGGAAUUAUUGGGCGUAAAGAGCUCGUAGGCGGUUUGUCGCGUCUGCUGUGAAAACUGGGGGCUCAACCCCCAGCCUGCAGUGGGUACGGGCAGACUAGAGUGCGGUAGGGGGAGAUUGGAAUUCCUGGUGUAGCGGUGGAAUGCGCAGAUAUCAGGAGGAACACCGAUGGCGAAGGCAGAUCUCUGGGCCGUAACUGACGCUGAGGAGCGAAAGCAUGGGGAGCGAACAGGG